rnacentral:lncRNA from 1 species
UCUUACCAUCUUGUUUACUCUCCACAGGCUGCAGGUGAUCCAGGAACAUGGUUCAGAUGGGUCACAGCACUUCUGGCUUCUGUAUCCUCACCAAUACUCAAUGAUUUUAUGUCUAGUGCUUCAUAAGUUACAAGACACCUGGAAUUAGGUAGUAAGUAUUUUUCUUUCUUUAGUGUGAGUCUAUAAAACCACAGCAGUUUGUAUUUU